GGCAAGAUGGCCGAGUGGUUAUGGCGGUGGUCUCAAGUAACAAAAAUUCGUACAAAGAAUUUCCACUUGCGCUAGUAAAUAGUGAUGUUUGCCACUGGAGCAAUCCGCAGGGGUUCGAAUCCCCUUCUUGUCA